rnacentral:misc_RNA from 1 species
GCAUCUCGAACUUUGUCCACAAUCUCCUUAUACUUUAUCGGAUCCUCAUCAAUGCCUUUGAGGUCUAUCACUGGAAAACUGAUGUGUGUUUCACAUGUUUUUACCCUGUAUUUUGGCGGUAGAAUGAAUACUUGAGGUACUUUAUUGAUUCCGGAAUCAACAAGCCCUUUGACACCAGCCUUAGUAUCAUCAAAGGCUAUUAGGUCACUCAUUUUGUCAUAACUAUUCUGAAUUGUGGCCUGAAAAUCAUCUUUUUUGCUGUAGACUGCCAU